AGCAGCAGCAACAAUUGUGGUUAGGGCUAGCUGGUUUUGGGCUGUAGCAGCAGCAGUGGAAGGGGCAUGCAGAGGAGCAGGAGAUUCAGUUGGAGCUGGAGUUCACCUCCCCUUUUCUGUCUCCUGUGCUUGCCUCUUCCAUUCCUGCUGCUAGGCUGUGUGUGCAAGCUUGCAGAGUUUAUCUGAUGGGUUGGUUAAAUCGUCCAUGGCAUCAGCAGCAGCAGGUGAAACUUUUCUUCAGAUAUUGCGGAAAACUUGUCUGUAACUUCAUUCUACUCCAGCUCUGUUAUGAUUUCAUCGGAAGGGCGGGGGUCUUGGGGAACUGGAUCCUCUGCAGUCGACGGUAGAGAAUCUCGUCGCUAACAUGUGGACCUAGCGCCUUUCGAGCCCAUAUGUCAGUGGUGGCUGCAGGGGAAAGUCGACUGCAGAGCGAUCCCAAAUCCGUGUCUGGGUUCAUGUUCUUCACUGAUUCUGUUUUCAGGCCUGUCAUGACAAUGCGGCUGUGCGAGAGCUCCAUGAAGUCGAAUGUCAUAAUGGAUUCAGGGCAAGGAAAAAGAUAAUGUUUUUCGUUGGAAAUUUGGGUGUAUGCCUAGUAAAACUCAUGUUUCAGAGAAAUGCCAAUACAGAAUUUGUCUGAGCUCAUUCAGUUAUCUCAGAAUUUGGGUGAUACAUUUUAUUCGGUCGAUCGUUUCAGAGUAGGUAAUAGAUUCGAAAAACUACAAAGCGUGAAAAAAAAUGUUUCUUAGCAGUACAGUUAAUUAAGCUGUAUCCCUUGACUAAAUUUGUACUGUCACUUCCCAACUUAGAAAGUACUGCUCCCUCCGUCC
rnacentral:lncRNA from 1 species